GACAGAGGCCCCAAGCGUUAGGCGGAAUCACUGGGCUUAAAGCGUGUGUAGGCGGAUCGUUAAGUGUCUUGUGAAAUCCCACGGCUCACCCGUGGAACUGCUGGGCAUACUGGCGAUCUUGGGCCAACUAGGGGCAGCCGGAACAAGCGGUGGAGCGGUGAAAUGCGUAGAUAUCGCCUGGAACGCCGACGGUGAAAACAGGUGACUGGGGGUGCGCCGACGCUGAGACGCGAAAGCCAGGGGAGCGAACGGG
rnacentral:rRNA from 1 species